UCGAACGGUAACAGGCCGCGCUCAUCCUUCGGGGUGUUGUGGCGCUGACGAGUGGCGGACGGGUGAGUAAUGCUUAGGAAUCUACCCAGAAGUGGGGGACAACCCGAGGAAACUCGGGCUAAUACCGCGUAAGCCCUACGGGGGAAAGCGGGGGACUCUUCGGAGCCUCGCGCUUUGGAUGAGCCUAAGUCGGAUUAGCUUGAUGGUGAGGUAAAAGCUCACCAUGGCGACGAUCCGUAGCUGGUCUGAGAGGACGAUCAGCCACACUGGGACUGAGACACGGCCCAGACUCCUACGGGAGGCAGCAGUGGGGAAUAUUGGACAAUGGGGGCAACCCUGAUCCAGCAAUGCCGCGUGUGUGAAGAAGGCCUGCGGGUUGUAAAGCACUUUCAGUAGAGAAGAAAAGCUCGAGGUUAAUACCCUCGGGUCUUGACGUAACCUAAAGAAGAAGCACCGGCUAACUCCGUGCCAGCAGCCGCG
rnacentral:rRNA from 1 species